AGGGAAAGCUGGCGGCAGGCCUAACACAUGCAAGUCGAACGAACUCUUCGGAGUUAGUGGCGGACGGGUGAGUAACACGUGGGAACGUGCCUUUUGGUUCGGAAUAACUCAGGGAAACUUGUGCUAAUACCGAAUGUGCCCUUCGGGGGAAAGAUUUAUCGCCAUUAGAGCGGCCCGCGUCUGAUUAGCUAGUUGGUGAGGUAACGGCUCACCAAGGCGACGAUCAGUAGCUGGUCUGAGAGGAUGACCAGCCACACUGGGACUGAGACACGGCCCAGACUCCUACGGGAGGCAGCAGUGGGGAAUCUUGCGCAAUGGGCGAAAGCCUGACGCAGCCAUGCCGCGUGAAUGAUGAAGGUCUUAGGAUUGUAAAAUUCUUUCACCGGGGACGAUAAUGACGGUACCCGGAGAAGAAGCCCCGGCUAACUUCGUG
rnacentral:rRNA from 1 species